UAACAUUCACAAAUGAAUUUAUUUCAAUUCUCUUAAACAAAAAGUAUAUGUCUAGAACUUUAUGAGUCAAAUAAUCAAUUUCGGAGUUUUACGUUGAAAAAGCAUUAAGCACAUAAAUAAACCAUCAACAUAAUUGAAAUAGAUAUUAUAUAUAACCGGCCAGAUUAACCGUUUACAUGAGAAUUACAAUGAACUAAACCUAAUCCCAAUAACAGAAUUAGUUACAUAUAAACAUGGUAACCUUACAGUACAUAACUAGGAGAGAUGAAAAGGUGAUGAAGAUGAUUCCUAUGCUCUUCUUGGUAGCUCUCAAUCUCCUCUGUCUUCACCCUCUCUCGUGAGGUUUUGUGUGUUGUGUGUAAGAAUGGAAUUGAUUGUGGAGUGUGAAACUCAUCCCCUAUCUAUAAUAUUAAAGUGCAGCUCACUUUGAGAUGGAAAUCUUUCUUCACUGCGAGGUAAUUUGUUGAGCACCGCCUCCCUUUAGUUUCUAUCAACACUGUUUCUAUUUUCCACUUGACUGUGCCACUUGAGCAAACCGGCUCUCACCUUCUACUUCUUGUUUUUCUUUUCCACCUGUUAUAUAAGAUAAAUAUAUAUAAGAGCAAUAAUAAAUAUAAAUUAAUAUAUAGUUCUAUUAUAAAUUAGGAGGUACGUCGACAUAAGUGGAGUGAAAAGGCUAAAAAUAGUUAAAAAAUACUAAUUUGUUAGUAAAGGACUAAUAUCUACGUCCCCAUGAGCUUAGCUCAAUUGGUUGGGACAUCAGUAUUUUAUAUGCAGGAGCCAGAGUUCGAACCCUGGACACUCCACUUAUCCAUCUUUAAAGGUGGAAUUUCAAGCCACUAGGCUACCUGACCANNNNNNNNNNNNNNNUGACCAAAAAAAAAAAGGACUAAUAUCUACAAAUAAUUGAGAUUUUUACUUCAAAUGACUUAUAAAAUACAGUAAGUCAAUAAAUGCUUAAAAUAUAUAUGUAAAUUUAUUAUUUUUUGGCACUUAUUAAUAUAUUAUGCAUUUAUAUAUUUAAUUUUUCAAUAACGUAUUAUAUCUAAAGUUUUGAAACAUUUUAUGUAUCGACGUAUCCGAUUUCCUAGCCUGAAUCAAACAUGCAACCUUCUUUUUCCAUUUAAAAAAGAAAAAAGUUAAUAUAUGUCCACCCGAAGAGCACAAGUUAAAGUACUUAUUUAAAAAAAAAUAAAUAGAAAAUUAGUCUUAAGAAAUGUGCAUUCAAUUUUUUCAAAGUUAAAAUCUUCUUCACAAUACAUAACUUUUCAUUUUUAAGUUUUUAACAUUUUUACCCUUAUGAUACAUAUUAACAAACUCUUUAAAAAAAACUCAAUUGUUAUGGAGAAAUAUAAAUAUUUAAAUUUAAAGAAAAUGUUAACGAGUGUGCCUCUGGGGCAGUCUUUAAGUAUCUUAAAUAAAUUUUUGUUAAAUAUUUAUGAAAAUAUGUGAAGUUUACACAUUGAAAAUUAAAAUGUUUUACUUUUUAAAUAUACUAUUUUUUUAAAUGAAAUGUCUAAAGAACGUCCAUACACUCAUUAGACCUAAAUUUAAAAGUCAAUAAAAUUGGUAAGAGAAAAAUAAAUAGAAACUCAAUAGAAAAAAAAUAACGGAUUUAAAGAACAUAAGCAAACAGUGUAAUAUCAUCAUUACACAGACAACCAAUGAAAUUCAACCGUUUUGCCAUGUCAUUAUUUUAAUUAAAAUAUUAAAAUUAAUUACUAUACAACUGUGAACUGCUUACCCACGUUUUAUUCCAUCAAAUCCUAAUCUUCCUUCCAAACCCUUUUACCUUCCAAGUUCCAACAAACUUUGGCUCUGUUUGGCAAAAAUAGCUUUUGGCUGAUAAGCUAGCUGAUAGCUUCUGGCUGAUAGCUUCCAACUUCUAGCUGAUAAACUAAUUGAAGUGUUUGGUAAAAUUAGUUGUUCAAGUAACUGAUAAAUGUAAAAAGACAUAAAAAG
rnacentral:lncRNA from 1 species